rnacentral:lncRNA from 1 species
UUUUUUCUAAAAAUGAAGUUUAACUGGACAAGUAGCAUUUUAUUUCGUCUUAUAAUACAAUGCUGCUUUUUGCAACGAACAUGCACUUAAAUGUCCCGGGGGAGUCUCUAAUCAUGUCUUGCAUUUACCUCAGUUUCUCGGUUAUUUGGGCUCUGUUCGCGAUAAUAUUGACGCCUUAGAGAUUCUCAAGCACUAAUCUAUCACUUUAGCUUGACUUAAUAUUUGCCUUUAGUGUCCCUUUAAGCCAUGAACAAAGCUUGUGAGCCUACCCUGAUAAGUUCCCUGUUAGUGACCCUUUAAAGAAGCAAUUCAUCUACUAACUCAUAGACCGCUGAAGCAGCCACAUCCAAGAGUCAAAAG